rnacentral:rRNA from 1 species
GAUCCUGGCUCAGGAUGAACGCUAGCGACAGGCUUAACACAUGCAAGUCGAGGGGCAGCGGGGGUAGCAAUACCCGCCGGCGACCGGCGCACGGGUGAGUAACGCGUAUGCAACUUACCUAUCAGAGGGGGAUAACCCGGCGAAAGUCGGACUAAUACCGCAUGAAGCAGGGGGUCCCGCAUGGGGAUAUUUGCUAAAGAUUCAUCGCUGAUAGAUAGGCAUGCGUUCCAUUAGGCAGUUGGG